rnacentral:rRNA from 1 species
UACGAAGGGUGCAAACGUUGCUCGGAAUUAUUGGGCGUAAAGCGCACGUAGGCGGCUUAGCAAGUCGGAUGUGAAAUCCCUCGGCUCAACCAAGGAAGUGCAUCCGAAACUGCUGAGCUUGAGUACUUAAGAGGAUCGCGGAAUUCCCGGUGUAGAGGUGAAAUGCGUAGAUAUUGGGAGGAACACCAGUGGCGAAGGCGGCUACCUGGACCGGUUCUGACGCUGAGGCGCGAAAGCGUGGGUAGCAAACAGG